rnacentral:misc_RNA from 1 species
GAUGAAGAACGUAGCGAAAUGCGAUACGUAAUGUGAAUUGCAGAAUUCAGGGAAUCAUCGAAUCUUUGAACGCACAUUGCGCCUGCCAGCACUCUGGCAGGCAUGCCUGUUCGAGCGUCAUUUCAACCAUCAAGCCCUAGGCUUGCGUUGGAGCCCUGCGGCUGCCGCAGGCCCCUAAAAGCAGUGGCGGGCUCGCUAUCACACCGAGUGCAGUAGAUUACUCUUCGCUCAGGGCGUGUGGCGGGUUCCAGCCGUGAAACCCCCUACUUCUCAAGGUUGACCUCGGAUCAGGUAGGAAUACCCGCUGAACUUAAGCAUAUCAAUAAGCGGAGGA